ensembl:lincRNA
AUUUGGUUGAGGGAGAUGAAUCUUACAAUUUUCUGUGUUUAUUUGGCUGCGGGAUAGGGAAAGGAAACAGAGAGUCCAAUAGGCUUUUUAAGUUGCAGAGAUGGAGCUGAGAUUUAGAGAAGUGCAAGGCAACUAGAGUUCAAAAGAAAAUUUUCUGAUUCUGAUAGGGGAGGGCUACACUGAGGAAAAAACCCUAAAAAUUUGCAGAGGUGAUCCUUCAAGAAUUCAGCAGAAUUGUUUUCAAUGUAUGCAUGUAAGAAAACUAUGCAUGGCUGGGAGAUGAGGAGAGUUCGAGUACUGGAUUCUCAGCCAGGGGAUAUUCACCACCACUCUCUCCCACCCCCACCAGUUGAUUCAAUGUUGACCAUACUUGGAAGCAGACAGACUAGGCAGAAAGUGAAGAGUAAAAGAAAAAAAUGCAUGAAGGCCACAUGCUAAGGAACUUCAGCAUUCAUUUAUGCUUUCCUCCCCUGUUGCUUGGUUAGUGUGGAUCCCAACAUUUAAGGACACCGGAUGGACUCAUCGCCUAAAUUUAGCCACCUCUCAGGUAAAUGAGAAGCAAGUUUAUGACCAAUAUUAGCCAACUGGUACCAGGCUACAUCAUUGGUUGGACUCUUGAAAAGAAAGCUUAUUGGUAGAUGAAGCUGAAAAGAUGCGAGGGUGGGAACUGCUGUGAUUACCUAGCAAACAUAACAUGACAUUCUGUGGAGAACAACGGCAUCUUUGAGAACCAACAAGAAGAUGAAAAGGGGGAGCAUGUGCUGACACAGAUGUGUACCACUCUCCAGUGAUCUAUGAGGGAUUGAAAAAAUAGACAUCAGUGGAGCAAAAAGUAUUAUAUUUUGUCUUGAAAUAAACCUUUGAUUUACAUUUUGGCUCUUAUUUUCUUUGUAGUGGUCAGCUAUAUGUACUUAUAUUUUUACAUUCAAUACUUUGGAUAAAGGAUAAUUGGUAUGGAAAUAUGCUUCCUCUAAAUUACUUUUAUAUCUUCAAAAUUUUCUUUAAUAUGUUGUCCAAAUAUUACAUUGAAAUAUGAAAAUAAAAUAUCACUGCCCAGCACGAUGGCUCACGCCUGUAAUCCCAGCAUUUUAGAAGGCUGAAGUGGGCUGACUGCUUGAGGUCAGGAGUUCGAGACCAGCCUGGUUAACAUGGUGAAACCCCGCCUCUUCUAAAAAUACCAAAAUUAGCCGGGCAUGGUGGU